AGAUUGCAUGAGGCAAGAAGAUUGAACACAUCACAACUUUUUUAAUAUGCUUUACAGCAAGUACAUAGAUUAAAAUGCAGACCAAACAAAGGCUGUAGACUUAAAACUGCAACCGCAAGUGUUAGAGACUGAAUGACAAUUUCAGAAAUCUGGGUACUAAAACAUGCAGUUUAGUAAAUCCCAGUUAAGUCUUACUGGAUCUGAAACUGCAGGGGCAAGAUAUGAUUAUCUCUAAAUACAUGGUUGAAUUGAAUAAAUUCCAAAGAAGAUAAGAUCCCCAAUUUCUUAUCCCAUGCGAGCGUCGUGGCCAUGGUAACUGCUGCCGCUGUGCAGUGCGGGCAGACCGAUGGUUGCGCCACCGCGUUUUGCGCCUCGUGGGCUGCCUCUGCCCGGGCUGAGGACCGCACUGCCGCACGCCGGCCGAUGGCCGCCGCCGCGGAGCCGCGAGACACCGUGUUUGCUGCCGGGCGUUGCCAUGCCGGGCACCGGCCGUUGGCCGCUGCCGCCGCUGUGUGUUACGCGCCUGGCCGCCUCAUCGAAAAAGAUGCAGGCCCGGAGUGCAUCCUCGGCCACGCCGGGGCCGUGGUCCAUGGCCGCCUCGGGGUGCAGCGCUGGGAGCAGCCGGGCCGAAGGAUGUCGCCGCUCCGCGAGGAGCCUAGCCGAGGUAAACGUCGACCGGGCCAUGGGUUGCUGCCGAAGUUUGCUUUGGACGGCAUUAAAAACGAUGCACUAGAGGUUAGUAUAACGAAAUCGGAAUUGAAUCACCUGAUUGAUGUAUGAUGCAGAGUUGGUCUUUGCAUUAUUGUCGUUUUGUACGAGAUGUGUCACAGGGAUCUUGUAUGUUUUCUUCUGAUCCCCUUGCCGUUCUGCUGUUCUUGACCUUUCUCUGAAUUUUGUGCUUUCUUUCUCUUUGCAUCUGGUUUCUUUCCUGAUCGAGAGACUCGCAGCGCCUGCGCCUGUGCCGCGAACGCCUCGGGCUGAUGCGGGAGGUCGAGGCCACGCGACCACGCGCCGUCUGGAGACCUGCGCCGCCGUGCCGCUCUGCAGGGUGAGGCGUGCUCGCACCACGCGCCGGAGGGCAUGGGCUGCCGCCGGGGACAACGAGAUGCGUCAAGGAACGCUGGGCAUCUGGUCGUGUCGGAGAAACCUUGCUGCCUCUCGGGCAUCAAGGACGUCGCCGGUGACGGAUUGAUGUGGGUGGCCUAAUCGCUAGCUCCAGAUAUUUCCGAGCUGAUUCGUGCGCGCGUGCGUCUGCGGGUGCUUGUUGCAGGUAGCUUGAAAGGACCCCCUAGUCGGUCACGCACUCGGCCGCCAUUUCAGCCUGAAGGUACAGUGCCAAAGCCACUGAUUCAGGCCAGAGAUGGAUGGACACCUGGAUCAACGCAUGCCCGCCCUAUCAGGUCCGGUGUGUUGUUGACGUCGAUCGGUCGGCGGCGGCCUUGAUGGCCUAACCAAAUUGGCGACUGUUUAUUGGGGCAUCCACUCCAUCUCCACCGGAGGCAGCAAAAACGACAUGCCUCUUCAGAUUGUGAUCAUGAGCAAAAGCUUUUUUAAGUGGAUGUCAAACGCGCAGGAUUUCAUAUAAAAUUAGUUGUCUUUGUCUGAAAAUUUCAGAGUGCGUGUGCGUCUCUAGCUAAGCUUGGACCAUACGUGUUCGUGGAGAAGAAAUAUCUGGUUCUGUUU